AAGGAUGUGUACCUGUUAAACUUCAAAUAGAUGAAGGCGAGGAGUUUAAUAAUAAACAUUUCCAUCAGCUGAUGGUUCAGUUUAACAUCACACAUUGAUUAAACCAAGUUUUGUGGAACGUUUUAACAGAAGCUUUAAGGACCGUAUGUGAAAAUACUUCACAUCUGUUAACUUAUGUAGACGUGUAAACGUGGUCCAGGACCUUGUGCUGUCAAGGCCAAGCAGCCGGUGUAAAGAGGUUGGAGCCAAAAGCUGACUCAGUACAUGUUUGUUUGAUUUGAAUGAAAACUUGAUUUAUAGCAGGGAUCAUGAAGGUCGAGGCGAGACAUGGAGGGAAUGACAUGGGAGCAGGACUCACUCACUAUUAAAUGCUGAAGCAAAGCUACAGAGAGGGGCGUUUCUCCAGGAUUGCGGUGGAGUGAGGAAAAGAACAACAUGUCUGAGUUCCCCUGGACGUGGCCCUGUUUUCCCGGAGCAGAUCCUUAGUUUUGAAUGAUUGGAGAGUGGCUAUAGCGAGCAGUGAGUGAGCAAAGAGAAGCUUUCCCUGUCCUCCCCACCUUGGAUUUCCUGGAGCCUGGACCCCGUCACACUUGUAUAUAGCACAAUUCCCUGCACUGUCUGUACACAUACCUGGUGUAAUAAACUAUUUCUCCUCAAAGUGAA